rnacentral:rRNA from 1 species
AGUGAACGCUGGCGGCGUGCCUAAUACAUGCAAGUCGAACGCGAAAGUCCUUCGGGAUGAGUAAAGUGGCGUACGGGUGAGUAACACGUAGGUAAUCUACCCCAGAGUCUGGAAUAACCUGCCGAAAGGCGGGCUAAUACUGGAUAGAGCGACGGAAUCCGUAAUUGGGUUUUUCGGGAAAGGGAGCUGGCAACAGCCCUCGCUUUGGGAUGAGCCUGCGUCUCAUUAGCUAGUUGGUGAGGUAAUGGCUCACCAAGGCUUUGAUGGGUAGCUGGUCUGAGAGGAUGAUCAGCCACACUGGAACUGAAACACGGUCCAGACUCCUACGGGAGGCAGCAGUGGGGAAUCUUGCGCAAUGGACGAAAGUCUGACGCAGCCACGCCGCGUGAGUGAAGAAGGCCUUCGGGUUGUAAAGCUCUGUCGGGAGGGACGAAAAUCGUUUAGGUGAAUAGCCUAGGCGACUGACGGUACCUUCAAAGGAAGCACCGGCUAACUUCGUGCCAGCAGCCGCGGUAA